CGGUAAACUACCAGAGCCACCAUUCAAGGGGUCCAUCGGGUGGCUCAUACUGUUAGGGCCACCCAUUGGAGAUGGAUUUUCAGGGGGCCCGGUCAGCGCUCGGUGCUUUAACAGCUCGACGGGUCACCAUGUGAUGACAUCACUACUGGGAGGAAGUGACUGCCCUAGUCACUCCUCCCAGCAAUCACACAGAGCCCGCACAGGAAGAAGGAGAGGGAGUCAGAGUGGGAACCAGCCUGAGCCACCCUCCUGUUUCCUACCUAAAAGGUAGGAAACAGGAGGGUGAAUAUUUUGUAUAUGUUUGUGUUUGUAUGUAUUUGUGUCUGUGUGUGUGUCUGUCUGUAUGUGUGUAUGUGUCGGUGUGUAUGUGUGUCUGUCUGUAUGUGUGUAUAUGUCUGUGUGUGUGUGUCUGUAUGUAUGUAUGUGUCUGUGUGUAUGUCUGUCUGUAUGUAUGUGCCUGUUUGUAUGUAUGUAUGUAUGUG